rnacentral:misc_RNA from 1 species
CCUGGGCCUCACGGCGGCGG